rnacentral:rRNA from 1 species
UGGGGAAUUUUGCGCAAUGGGGGAAACCCUGACGCAGCAACGCCGCGUGAGUGAUGAAGGCCCUUGGGUCGUAAAGCUCUGUCAGAGGGAAAGAAAUGUACUCAGUUAAUAGCUGUUGUACUUGACGGUACCCUCAAAGGAAGCACCGGCUAACUCCGUGCCAGCAGCCGCGGUAAUACGGAGGGUGCGAGCGUUGUUCGGAAUUAUUGGGCGUAAAGCGCGUGUAGGCGGCUUCAUAAGUCUGAUGUGAAAGCCCUGGGCUCAACCUGGGAAGUGCAUUGGAUACUGUGAGACUUGAGUACGGGAGAGGGCAGUGGAAUUCCCAGUGUAGGAGUGAAAUCCGUAGAUAUUGGGAGGAACACCGGUGGCGAAGGCGGCUGCCUGGACCGAUACUGACGCUGAGACGCGAAAGCGUGGGGAGCAAACAGG